rnacentral:rRNA from 1 species
UACGAGGGGUGCAAGCGUUGCUCGGAAUUAUUGGGCGUAAAGGGCAGGUAGGUGGUCCUAUUUGUCUGAGGUGAAAUCCCAGGGCUUAACCCUGGAAGUGCCUUAGAAACGGUAGGACUAGAGUUCUAGAGGGGUUUGUGGAAUUCCCGGUGUAGCGGUGAAAUGCGUAGAGAUCGGGAGGAACACCAGCAGCGAAGGCGGCAAACUGGAUAGACACUGACACUCAACUGCGAAAGCGUGGGGAGCAAACAGG